rnacentral:rRNA from 1 species
GACGAACGCUGGCGGCGCGCCUAACACAUGCAAGUCGAGCGAAGCGGCGAACGGGUGAGUAACGCGUGAGGAACCUGCCUCUCACAACGGGAUAGCCUCGGGAAACCGGGAUUAAUACCGUAUGGUGAAAGAUGGCCUCGCGUCUGAUUAGUUAGUUGUUUGGGUAACGUCCUACCAAGACGACGAUCAGUAACCGGCAUGAGAGGGUGAAUGGUCCCCUUUGAGCUGAGACACGGUCCAAACUCCUACGGGAUGCAGCAGUGGGGAAUCUUGCACAAGGGGGGGAAGCCUGAUGCAGCGACGCCGCGUGAGCGAUGAAGGUUUUCGAAUCGUAAAGCUCUGUCCUAUGGGAAGCGGUACCAUAGGAGGAAGCCCCGGCUAACUACGUGCCAGCAGCCGCGGUAAUAC